rnacentral:tRNA from 1 species
GGUUGAUGGGGUCAUUUGAGUUUAUGUUAAGGGCCCAUAGCUCAGGCGGUUAGAGUGCGCCCCUGAUAAGGGUGAGGUCGGUAGUUCGAAUCUACCUGGGCCCACCAUUCAAUCAGGCAAGGGGCCGUAGCUCAGCUGGGAGAGCGCCUGCUUUGCAAGCAGGAUGUCAGCGGUUCGAUCCCGCUCGGCUCCACCAAUUGCGAAUUUAUAGUUUUUUUGUUCUAGGGAUUUUUUUUUAGAGCAAUAGUUUUUUGAAAAUUGAAUAGAAGGUAGAUUUUUUUGUAUUUUUUAUAUUGGCAUUGUAUGCGAUAUGGGAGGUACCGACGUUGUAUAACCGCACGUUGAAGAUUUAUCUCAGGAAAUUGGUCUAUUGAAAGAGCAUAAUUUAUUUAUGUUUUUUUAAUUAAGAAACGUUUGUAAUGAACUUUAUGACGUAUUGACAAUGAGAGUGAU